GACGAACGCUGGCGGCGUGCCUAAUACAUGCAAGUUGAGCGCUGACGGUUGGUACUUGUACUCACAGGAGGAGCAGCUAACGGGUGAGUAACGCGUGGGGAAUCUGCCUUUUAGUGGGGGACAACAUCGUGAAACGAAUGCUAAUACCGCAUAAUACCUUUUACCACAAGUUUUAAGUUUUAUACAUGCAAUUCCCUCAUUCAUAGAUGAAUCUGCGUUUUAUUAGUUAGUUGGGUAGGUAAAGGCCCACCAAGGGGGUGGUACAUAGCCGGCCUGGAAGGGAGGUCGACCAAAAUGGGACUGGGACACGGGCCAAACUCCUACGGGAGGCAGCAGGAGGGAAUCUUCGGAAAUGGAGGGAAGGCUGAACGAACAACGCCGCGGGAGUGAAGAAGGUUCUCGGAUUGUAAAACUCUGUUUGUAGAGAAGAAAGUGGGUGAGAGUGGAAAGCUCAUCAAGUGACGGUAACUAAACAGAAAGCGACGGCUAACUACGUG
rnacentral:rRNA from 1 species